CCCAGACUCCUACGGGAGGCAGCAGUGAGGAAUAUUGGUCAAUGGGCGCGAGCCUGAACCAGCCAAGUCGCGUGAGGGAGGACGGCCCUACGGGUUGUAAACCUCUUUUGCCGGGGAGCAACGGGCGUCACGUGUGGCGCCACUGAGAGUACCCGGAGAAAAAGCAUCGGCUAACUCCGUGCCAGCAGCCGCGGUAAUACGGAGGAUGCGAGCGUUAUCCGGAUUUAUUGGGUUUAAAGGGUGCGUAGGCGGAUCGUUAGGUCGGUGUAAAAAUGGGGGGCCUCACCCCCUCCCCGCCAUUGAAACUGGCGUUCUUGAGUGGAAGAGAAGUAUGCGGAAUGCGUGGUGUAGCGGUGAAAUGCAUAGAUAUCACGCAGAACUCCGAUUGCGAAGGCAGCAUACCGGCGCUCAACUGACGCUCAUGCACGAAAGUGUGGGUAUCGAACAGGAUUAGAUACCCCCGUA
rnacentral:rRNA from 1 species